AUUGAACGCUGGCGGCAGGCCUAACACAUGCAAGUCGAACGGUAGCACAGAGAGCUUGCUAUCGGGUGACGAGUGGCGGACGGGUGAGUAAUGUCUGGGAAACUGCCUGAUGGAGGGGGAUAACUACUGGAAACGGUAGCUAAUACCGCAUAACGUCGCAAGACCAAAGAGGGGGACCUUCGGGCCUCUUGCCAUCAGAUGUGCCCAGAUGGGAUUAGCUAGUAGGUGGGGUAACGGCUCACCUAGGCGACGAUCCCUAGCUGGUCUGAGAGGAUGACCAGCCACACUGGAACUGAGACACGGUCCAGACUCCUACGGGAGGCAGCAGUGGGGAAUAUUGCACAAUGGGCGCAAGCCUGAUGCAGCCAUGCCGCGUGUAUGAAGAAGGCCUUCGGGUUGUAAAGUACUUUCAGCGGGGAGGAAGGUGUUGUGGUUAAUAACCNCAGCAAUUGACGUUACCCGCAGAAGAAGCACCGGCUAACUCCGUGCCAGCAGCCGCGGUAAUACGGAGGGUGCAAGCGUUAAUCGGAAUUACUGGGCGUAAAGCGCACGCAGGCGGUCUGUCAAGUCGGAUGUGAAAUCCCCGGGCUCAACCUGGGAACUGCAUUCGAAACUGGCAGGCUAGAGUCUUGUAGAGGGGGGUAGAAUUCCAGGUGUAGCGGUGAAAUGCGUAGAUAUGUGGAGGAAUACCAGUGGCGAAGGUGCCCCCCUGGACACAUACUGACGCUCAGGUGCGAAAGCGUGGGGAGCAAACAGGAUUAGAUACCCUGGUAGUCCACGCCGUAAACGAUGUCGAUUUGGAGGUUGUGCCCUUGAGGCGUGGCUUCCGGAGCUAACGCGUUAAAUCGACCGCCUGGGGAGUACGGCCGCAAGGUUAAAACUCAAAUGAAUUGACGGGGGCCCGCACAAGCGGUGGAGCAUGUGGUUUAAUUCGAUGCAACGCGAAGAACCUUACCUGGUCUUGACAUCCACAGAACUUUCCAGAGAUGGAUUGGUGCCUUCGGGAACUGUGAGACAGGUGCUGCAUGGCUGUCGUCAGCUCGUGUUGUGAAAUGUUGGGUUAAGUCCCGCAACGAGCGCAACCCUUAUCCUUAGUUGCCAGCGGUUCGGCCGGGAACUCAAAGGAGACUGCCAGUGAUAAACCGGAGGAAGGUGGGGAUGACGUCAAGUCAUCAUGGCCCUUACGAGUAGGGCUACACACGUGCUACAAUGGCGCAUACAAAGAGAACCGCCCUCGCGAGAGCAAGCGGACCUCAUAAAGUGUGUUGUAGUCCGGAUUGGAGUCUGCAACUCGACUCCAUGAAGUCGGAAUCGCUAGUAAUCGUAGAUCCGAAUGCUACGGGGAAUACGUUCCCGGGCCUUGUACCCACCGCCCGCCCCCCCAUGGGAGUGGGUUGCAAAAGAAGUAGGUAGCUUAACGCUCUGGAGGGCGCUGACCAGUAUGAUUCCGGGUU
rnacentral:rRNA from 1 species